AAAACUCCAUCAGCUGCAAUGUUAAAGCUUAGGAAGGAAAAUGGAAUUCACAUCUGAAUCUAUCAUCGAAGAAGAAAGAGGAAAAGGUCAAAUCACAUUGGAGCCAUGAAUCAAGCGUAAUCAGAAGGAAGAGGUAAAAGCUUUGCAUAGCUUAAAUCCUCCUUCCCUCUCUACAUACAUUUCGGAUAACAGCAAAAAAAGGAGGUCACUUCAAUCUGCUGUGAAUCAAUAGUUGAUAUUGAAAUUUGGGGGUAAAACACAAAAUUAAGGGUUUGAAUUUGGCAAAUAUUUUAGGCAACUCAUUUCAAUAAGCAUGCUGCUGCUCAUCUAUGCUGUGCUCUAAAUCCCUAAUUUCUGGUCUGAUUUAUUGAAAGAAAGAGAAGACUUAAAGCUGGUUCAAGAUUUAAGGAGUUGACUUAGCUCAGAAAAUCCUAACCUUGGCAAUCUUACUCCAUACAAAAAGACAAUCUGAAUCUCAAUUUGAAAGAGAGGAGAGAGCCCAAAGUUCAGAGUUUCAAAAGCACCAAACACACAUUUCGAGCUUCAAGUUUUAGGAUAGAAGGAUGCAUUUGAGAGUGCUAGAUUCGGGUUCAGAGUUCGAGCUGUUCAAUAUUGUCUCCUUCAUGGUUUAUUAUUGCAUAUUCAGUUUUCAGUUUGAAUAAAUUACUAUUUGUACCCACAAAAGAGAUACAGACGCUGACAAAUGUACUCAUAUAAGAAUAAAACGAUAAUUGUAACCACGGAAGAUGAUCUCCGUGUGCCAAGAGUAGCCAGACGUUGGUUACGUAAUUGGUCUGUUAAGGUAUACUCUUGGCAUACGAAAAUCAUCUUCCGUGGUUACAAUUGUCGUUUUAUUCUUAUAUAGGUAUAUUUGUCGACGUCUGUGUCUUUCAUCGAUACAAAUGGUAAUUUAUCCUUUCAGUUUUCUGUAUUAUCUUUCUGUGCUUUAGUUUUAAUGAAAAAUACCUAUAACUAUCUAAGUGAGGCAUUGAGAAAAAAAAAAAGGCAAAGAGAGAACACUUAUUGAGAAA
rnacentral:lncRNA from 1 species